GCCUGGGUGGCUCAGUGGUUGAGCGUCUGCCUUCAAAUCAGGGCAUGAUCCUGGAGUUCCAGGAUCAAGUCCUACAUCAGGCU
rnacentral:tRNA from 1 species